AUUGAACGCUGGCGGCAUGCCUUACACAUGCAAGUCGAACGGCAGCACGGGAGCAAUCCUGGUGGCGAGUGGCGAACGGGUGAGUAAUACAUCGGAACGUGCCCAGUCGUGGGGGGAUAACGUAGCGAAAGCUACGCUAAUACCGCAUACGAUCUGUGGAUGAAAGCGGGGGACCGUAAGGCCUCGCGCGAUUGGAGCGGCCGAUGUCAGAUUAGGUAGUUGGUGGGGUAAAGGCCCACCAAGCCGACGAUCUGUAGCUGGUCUGAGAGGACGACCAGCCACACUGGGACUGAGACACGGCCCAGACUCCUACGGGAGGCAGCAGUGGGGAAUUUUGGGACAAUGGGCGCAAGCCUGAUCCAGCAAUGCCGCGUGCAGGAUGAAGGCCUCGGUGUAACUAGCUUUGUACGGUAAC
rnacentral:rRNA from 1 species